UGUUCGGCUGUUAACCCCGCAAUCUCCGCGGCUGCUUGUAGCUGUUCCCUCAACUGCUCCAUAUACUUAGUAAGAGUGACGCGAAGCUGUGGUGGGACGUCUACCUCGCCUGCCCAAGUACCCUUUAUGAUGGACAGCGGCCCAUCACACACCACAGAAGCUGAAAGGGGGACACGCCGGAGGUGUCGUGGGGCACUUCCCGAUAUGCCCACAACAGGGAGGUAAUAUGAAGCUCUCUGUAUCUGCCCUGCUACUGUGCUUCGUCCUUGUUCUGCAUGAAGUCAACCAGGCAUCAGCCGGUACGGCAUCCGACAUCCAAGACCGCAUCAAUGCCGCCGUACGUCAGGUGCAACAGAUGAAUCGACUUCCCGUUGGUGACACCGAAGUUCGCAACGCUGCC